GGAAGGUGACUGCUUUAGAGAGUUUACAAAAUCUCAGGUGGCUGGUACAAAUCAUACUAGAAAGAUUGUAUCAUUGGUGCUUCUAGUGGAAGAUUAUAUAUGUAUACAACCUACCCCAAUCGCCAUCAGAAGCCAAUAUCCAUAAAGUUGCAGCCCGUCGUGUUAGACUAGGUCAUUUGGUCUACCAUUCCUUGCCAAUGCAAGAUUGAACGAUCCAUACACAUUUCUGAUCUUGAGACACC
rnacentral:lncRNA from 1 species